UGCAGACCAUACACACAAAAAAUAAAAAUAAAAAAUAAGUACUAAAAAAAAAAAGAAGAACUGGAAAAAAAUG
rnacentral:ribozyme from 14 species